ensembl:snoRNA small nucleolar RNA SNORA84
GCCUGGUGGUUCCUGGACUCAGCUGCACUGUGCUGAUAUUUCUGGGUUUGAAAACAGGCACAUAUUAACUCUGAUUUUUUUGCAUGGGGGCUGUAUUUCCAAGCAGCCACCAUAGGCCCGGUUUCAGAGACAGUA